rnacentral:rRNA from 1 species
AACGAACGCUGGCGGCAUGCCUAACACAUGCAAGUCGAACGGAACCUCCGUGUCUAUUUGCGCUCGUGGGCUGAACGCGUGGUAAGUUGCACGUGUGUACCGAAUACCAGUUUUUGACGACUGCUAAUGACGAAUGGGUUCAUAAGUCAAAAGAUUUAUCGCCCAAGGAUGAGCCCGGGUAGGAUUAGCUGGUUGGUGAGGUAAAGGCUGACCAAGGCGACGAUCGUUAGCUGGUCUGAGAGGAUGAUCAGCCACACUGGGACUGAGACACGGCCCAGACUCCUACGGGAAGCAGCAGUGGGGAAUAUUGGAAAAUGGGCGAAAGCCUGAUCCAGCAAUGCCGCGUGAGUGAUGAAGGCCUUAGGGUUGUAAAGCUCUUUUACCCGGGAUGAUAAUGACAGUACCGGGAGAAUAAGCUCCGGCUAACUCCGUG